AUAUCGUGUGCAAGCGUCCUGCCCCUGCCAGCACGCCGUCCCUUCCUUGCCGUGAGUCUGGAACCUUUCUUCCUAAAGUUCCUUCUGGUUGUGGUGUUUUAUUGCAGCAGCAGACAGGAACGAACACCGUCUCCAUCUCACCCAGAAUGCGAGGAAGGACGAUGAGGGGGACACUCUACAAAUGAGGAAACUGAGUCUCAGUUACCCAAAUUCACCUCAUGCCUUCUUCCUGGGGAUGUGUAGCCUGCCUCUUUCCUGAGCAAGAGUGGCCCUGAGGCUAGCCACUUGGAUAGCAAGUUUUCUCUACCUAGCUACUUGCUAUCAGGUAAGAGGAAGCCAUGAGGGCCACUUCCAGGCUUGAUCUUCAUCGCAGGCCACCACAUUCUUACCGUUCUGGCUGAAAUGGCAAUGGCUCCUAGAAGUAACCUGGCAAAGAUGGUAGAGUCCCUGCCAGUCUGAAUCCCUGUGUGUUCGUGAUAGGAAGAGCUGUCCCAUCCUACUCUUCUCUAACCCUCCCAGACUGGUACAUGAGGACAGUCCUAUCCAGCCUUCAGCUCCCCUGCACCUCAUUUCAGAGUUUGGAGUCGGUUUCCAGGCAACAUAACAUCUAAGGUGGGACUGACAAAGAAUGCAUAGAAGGAGAACAAAGAGAGAAAAGAGAUACAGGAACAAAAAAAGAGAGGAGAGGAGGACUCCAGGGGCCAGCCACACAACCUGACAGCCAGACGUGGGAUAAGAAGGAAAGAAAAGAUAUACAGAAAUAGAGAAAGUGUGCAUUUUUACACGUACACAUCUCUGCUCCGAGGAACUAAGCUGGUGUCUUUGGUGUCAUGGCACAGUACUGAAGCGAAGCUCUCGUGAGAUCCAGGGAUCCUGCAGGCGUCCACACUGAGAAAACCCAAGACUCCUCUCAAGAAUGAGAUUUGCCAGGGCUCUGUCCCCAGCCUACCAGUCCCUGUCUCUGAGUGGCCCUGGAGUGUGCAUUUUUAAACAACUUAAUAUAGCCGGCGCUGUGCUUGCUGCAUCUGAAACCAUCUGUUACUGUUUGAAUGUGACGUGUCCCACAGGCUCGUGUGUCUGCACACUUUGUCCCCAGCUGGUGACAGUGUUCCUGAAGUUUGUGGAAAAUGUGGGAUGAACCAAACCAAACGGAAGUAGGGAAAGACAGGGCUUGAGGAUCUAUGGUGGGCCUGCGCUCCCUCUCUCCCGCUCCCUCUGGACAGCAAAAGCCGUGGAUGUGGCCAGCUGUCUCAGAUUCCUGCCACCAUACUUUCCUCCCACGAAAGAUGUUCUCCUUUCUCAAAAUGUGAUAGAAAAACAAAACAAAACUAAAAAAAAACCCUUUCGUUCUUUAAUUUGACUUUGUCAGGUGUCUUGUCACAAGAAGGGGAACCAUUGCCCCAUCCAUCAGGCUUCCUUGUCCCAAAUAUUCUUCAAGCCCCUUAGCCCUCCUUCACCGUGGCAGUUUGAAUAGGAAUGGCCCCCCAUAGACUCAUGUGUUUCAAUGCUUGAUCCACAGUGAAUGAAAUUAUUAGGAGGCAUGGCCUUGUUGGAGGAAGUGUGUUGCUGUGGGGGGUGCGCUUUGAGGUCUCAUAUGUGCUCAAGCCCAGUGUGGUACACAAUCUCCUUCUGAUGUCUGUAGAUCAAGAUGUAGAACUCUCAGCUCCUUCUCUAGCACUGUGUCUGUCUGCACGCUGUCAUGCUUCCUACCGUGAUGGUAAGGGACUGAACCUCUGAACUGUAAGCCAGCCCCAAUUAAAUGUCUUUCUUUAUAAGA